AUGGUGCUUCCGAAGGAGAUGGGGCAUGUGAUGUCUGUGGGUGACGAGGUUGAUGAGGUAGGUGCUUUGGCACCUAAUUUUGAGGCGCAACUACAUGGUUCACCUCUGCCAUGUGGGCAACUGGAGGCACGAAAGUCCAUCGUGUCAGUGGUACCCGUGGCUGAUAAUGUUCUGGUGGCGGUGUCUGUGAGGAAUAAGGUCGCGUCUGUCGGUGCCGAGGUUGAUGAGGUAGGUGCUUUGGCACCUCAUUCUAAGGCGCCGAAGUCCAUCCGCCCGCCUGUCUUUGACCGUGAAGAUAUGCUGGCACGUAUUGACGAGGCGGUCUUCAGGAAGAAGCUUGGCGGCUUGCUCGCCUCCUCGGAGGCAGCUAGCCCUGGGUCUGGCAAGACGAUUGCUUGCCUUCUAGUGGAGGAAUCUUCUACGUGCAAAAUCAAGAAGGUGAAGAAGGCUCUCAGGAGCAUUGGCAAGAAGAGUGACGCCCUUGGUAUGGCGUUCGUGGCUGCUUAA
rnacentral:rRNA from 1 species